CGGUUAAGUUAGAAAGGGCGCACGGUGGAUGCCUUGGCACUAGGAGCCGAUGAAGGACGGGACGAACACCGAUAUGCUUCGGGGAGCUGUAAGCAAGCUUUGAUCCGGAGAUUUCCGAAUGGGGAAACCCACCACUCGUAAUGGAGUGGUAUCCAUAUCUGAAUACAUAGGAUAUGAGAAGGCAGACCCGGGGAACUGAAACAUCUAAGUACCCGGAGGAAGAGAAAGCAAAUGCGAUUCCCUGAGUAGCGGCGAGCGAAACGGGACCAGCCCAAACCAAGAGGCUUGCCUCUUGGGGUUGUAGGACACUCUGUACGGAGUUACAAAGGAACGAGGUAGAUGAAGAGGUCUGGAAAGGCCCGCCAUAGGAGGUAACAGCCCUGUAGUCAAAACUUCGUUCUCUCCUGAGUGGAUCCUGAGUACGGCGGAACACGUGAAAUUCCGUCGGAAUCCGGGAGGACCAUCUCCCAAGGCUAAAUACUCCCUAGUGACCGAUAGUGAACCAGUACCGUGAGGGAAAGGUGAAAAGCACCCCGGAAGGGGAGUGAAAGAGAUCCUGAAACCGUGUGCCUACAAGUAGUCAGAGCCCGUUAACGGGUGAUGGCGUGCCUUUUGUAGAAUGAACCGGCGAGUUACGAUCCCGUGCAAGGUUAAGCAGAAGAUGCGGAGCCGCAGCGAAAGCGAGUCUGAAUAGGGCGAAUUGAGUACGUGGUCGUAGACCCGAAACCAGGUGAUCUACCCAUGUCCAGGGUGAAGUUCAGGUAACACUGAAUGGAGGCCCGAACCCACGCACGUUGAAAAGUGCGGGGAUGAGGUGUGGGUAGGGGUGAAAUGCCAAUCGAACCUGGAGAUAGCUGGUUCUCUCCGAAAUAGCUUUAGGGCUAGCCUCAAGGUAAGAGUCUCGGAGGUAGAGCACUGAUUGGACUAGGGGCCCCUACCGGGUUACCGAAUUCAGUCAAACUCCGAAUGCCGAUGACUUAUCCUUGGGAGUCAGACUGCGAGUGAUAAGAUCCGUAGUCGAAAGGGAAACAGCCCAGACCGCCAGCUAAGGUCCCAAAGUAUACGUUAAGUGGAAAAGGAUGUGGAGUUGCUUAGACAACCAGGAUGUUGGCUUAGAAGCAGCCACCAUUUAAAGAGUGCGUAAUAGCUCACUGGUCGAGUGACUCUGCGCCGAAAAUGUACCGGGGCUAAACGUAUCACCGAAGCUGCGGACUGUUCUUCGAACAGUGGUAGGAGAGCGUUCUAAGGGCUGUGAAGCAAGACCGGAAGGACUUGUGGAGCGCUUAGAAGUGAGAAUGCCGGUAUGAGUAGCGAAAGAGGGGUGAGAAUCCCCUCCACCGAAUGCCUAAGGUUUCCUGAGGAAGGCUCGUCCGCUCAGGGUUAGUCGGGACCUAAGCCGAGGCCGAAAGGCGUAGGCGAUGGAUAACAGGUUGAUAUUCCUGUACCACCUCCUCACCAUUUGAGCAAUGGGGGACGCAGGAGGAUAGGGUAAGCGCGGUAUUGGAUAUCCGCGUCCAAGCAGUUAGGCUGGGAAAUAGGCAAAUCCGUUUCCCGUGAAGGCUGAGCUGUGAUGGCGAGCGAAUUAUAGUAGCGAAGUUCCUGAUUCCACACUGCCAAGAAAAGCCUCUAGCGAGGUGAGAGGUGCCCGUACCGCAAACCGACACAGGUAGGCGAGGAGAGAAUCCUAAGGUGAUCGAGAGAACUCUCGUUAAGGAACUCGGCAAAAUGACCCCGUAACUUCGGGAGAAGGGGUGCUCUGUUAGGGUGCAAGCCCGAGAGAGCCGCAGUGAAUAGGCCCAGGCGACUGUUUAGCAAAAACACAGGUCUCUGCGAAGCCGUAAGGCGAAGUAUAGGGGCUGACGCCUGCCCGGUGCUGGAAGGUUAAGAGGAGCGCUUAGCGUAAGCGAAGGUGCGAAUUGAAGCCCCAGUAAACGGCGGCCGUAACUAUAACGGUCCUAAGGUAGCGAAAUUCCUUGUCGGGUAAGUUCCGACCCGCACGAAAGGCGCAACGAUCUGGGCACUGUCUCAACGAGAGACUCGGUGAAAUUAUAGUACCUGUGAAGAUGCAGGUUACCCGCGACAGGACGGAAAGACCCCGUGGAGCUUUACUGCAGCCUGAUAUUGAAUGUUGGUACAGCUUGUACAGGAUAGGUAGGAGCCUUGGAAACCGGAGCGCCAGCUUCGGUGGAGGCAUCGGUGGGAUACUACCCUGGCUGUAUUGACCUUCUAACCCGCCGCCCUUAUCGGGCGGGGAGACAGUGUCAGGUGGGCAGUUUGACUGGGGCGGUCGCCUCCUAAAAGGUAACGGAGGCGCCCAAAGGUUCCCUCAGAAUGGUUGGAAAUCAUUCGCAGAGUGUAAAGGCACAAGGGAGCUUGACUGCGAGACCUACAAGUCGAGCAGGGACGAAAGUCGGGCUUAGUGAUCCGGUGGUUCCGCAUGGAAGGGCCAUCGCUCAACGGAUAAAAGCUACCCCGGGGAUAACAGGCUUAUCUCCCCCAAGAGUCCACAUCGACGGGGAGGUUUGGCACCUCGAUGUCGGCUCAUCGCAUCCUGGGGCUGUAGUCGGUCCCAAGGGUUGGGCUGUUCGCCCAUUAAAGCGGUACGCGAGCUGGGUUCAGAACGUCGUGAGACAGUUCGGUCCCUAUCCGUCGCGGGCGCAGGAAAUUUGAGAGGAGCUGUCCUUAGUACGAGAGGACCGGGAUGGACGCACCGCUGGUGUACCAGUUGUUCUGCCAAGGGCAUCGCUGGGUAGCUAUGUGCGGACGGGAUAAGUGCUGAAAGCAUCUAAGCAUGAAGCCCCCUCAAGAUGAGAUUUCCCAUUCCGCAAGGAAGUAAGAUCCCUGAAAGAUGAUCAGGUUGAUAGGUCUGAGGUGGAAGUGUGGCGACACAUGGAGCUGACAGAUACUAAUCGAUCGAGGACUUAACCAAUUU
rnacentral:rRNA from 1 species